AGGCUUUGGUGGUAAAUAAAUUAUUUUGAAAUUAAUUUUAGAGCGUUCGAUUCGUUCAAAAGCUU
rnacentral:tRNA from 1 species